CCCCACCGGUCCCCACCAGCCACACCUGGACCAGUCCCCACUGUUUCUCCCCAGUCCCCACCAGCCACACCUGGACCACAGUCUCUGUGACAGGUGCCCACAGCUGCUGGCAAUGUUUGAGCUGAUACGGGUUAACUACCCCACAAGCCCCUCACCAGAUCACAAGGACACCAAGUCUUGGACCACACUCUGACUUUUAACUAAAUUUUUAUUAGAGAGUGAGCAAAGAAAAAACAUCCAGAGCAAUCUUUACUUGGAGCUUGAGAAGCUAUCAGCUCUCUAUUGCUUUGGGUCCCCUGAUCACCAUCUUGCAUGACCAAAAAAAAAAAAAAAAAAAAAAUCACAUAAUGCAGCUGCUGGAAUGCAAGAGGCAGGAUUCUGUCCCCUUCAGGGCAGGUGCCAAACAACCAGACCAUUUGGGAUUUAGCCUGUGGCACCCUUCUUAAGAGUCAGGGCGAGGCCACAUGGCCUGUCCACACCAGAGGGAGGCAUUUCUCUUACACACCUUCGUUCCAUCCAGGUACCUUGAAUUGUUCCACUCUGACCACUAAGGACUCAUUUCUAACAUCCGACAUGCUACCUAACAGGCCUCUAAUUUCUCCAACAGAAGAUCCACAUCUGCAAGUCACUGUGGCAAACAGCAAAGCUUCACAGUAGCCAGCGCUGGGCAUGGGCCUCCUGGUUAGAAUCCCAGCUGGCCACCCAUGGGCGCACACCCUGAAAACACAGGAUUGCCCCAUAAUGCAAGAAAUGUGAGCACAACAUCAUGCAGUAGAUACUCAAGUACAGAUUGCAGAUCUAACAGUGAGGCAAAAAUGAAACAAAAUACGUUUUAGAGACUUGUUAUGGGCUAACAAGUAGAGGUGUUAGUAUGGAAGCAAACUCUCCCUAGGACUUAAUACAGAGUCAGACUCAUCGUUCAAGUUCUUCCAGAAAAGGAAAUGGCCACUGAGUGCACAAGUUCCUCAAGACAAAGUUUUGAAAGAUACGAAAAUGUUUUUGCAAACAUAAGACUCAUACCAAUCUUUCAUAAAAGUUGAGGAAAUAACAAUGAAAUGUUAACUCAGUAUAAAAGCUAUAAUCAAAUUACCACUUUACAUUAGUUUCUGAUAGUCUGACAUGUCACCAGGAGAAAGCUUAGGGACCCAGAAACCCAGAGCUGACUUAUGACUUAGACUCUGACUCACCCUUCUCCGGAGCCCUCCUCUGAAAGGAAGGAGGCACGGUCGAGUCCUGGAGGAAACCUGUGUCCCGAACCUUCCAUUACUGACAUUCUGAGCUGUUGCUUUAUAUCAACGUGCUCCAAAUAAUGGUUCUUCCACCCAGAGGAGCCAGCAGCAGCAGCAGGAGCCAGAGGACAGACACCAGACAGAUCCAUCCACAAACCACACAGCGGGUUCCACCAGGAGAUCUGACCCCCGGCGACUUGGGUGGCGCUCAGCUCGCUAAUAACAGACUCUCCCAUAAGAGCCGAACUGUGGCUAUCCAGUCACCAUUCAUUUCGUCUGAGACACUGGCUCUCCAGAAGCGUCACUAAAAUAUAAGUAUCUCCUUCUGGAGAAAGCCAGACCUCAGCGCCAGCAUAGGACUCAUCCAUCAGGCCAGAGGGGACAUCCUGCAGGGAGAGGAGAUGGCUCCACAGAGGAGGUUGACAGCUGCAGAGGCAUUGGCACGGCAGCAGGAAGCCCCAAGCGAGAGCCUGAGCAUGGCGCGAGGUGCAUGUCCAGGAGUGGGGACGGACAGGGCCACGGAGAGGAGGCGCUGGCCCAGGCUCUGGGCGCACAAGAGGGUCGGGGGAAGGCAGGGGAGCAGGGCUAACCAGAAGGCUGGCCCGGCCAAUGGGAGGCCAGUCACAGGGUUCUGCUGUGGCACCUGCUUAAGGCUGGAGGGAUGGGCAGCACCAGCCUGGAGAUGAGGCGGCCUGCGGAUUUCGCUCUGCACUUCAAAGUCCACGAGAACACCCAACACCACUUUGGGUCAGAGGCCAGGCCAAUGCUGCGGUGUCAACGGUGAGUCACAGCCUGGGGAGGAGCCCGCAGACACCUCGCCACCUUGGGCUUCCGGACGGAAAACAGAGCUCAGGUAUGUGAUGUGUGACCUUCAGGCGCCCCAAGGCCACAGAGCAGUGUCAGGGGCCUGCUGGCAUCUAGGCCUGUCUGAACGCGCCUCAUGGCCGCUGGCUCAGAAUCCUCUCUUCUCCACCUACUGCACCUGCAACUCCAGUCCAAAUAAAGGCAACACCACCUCUGUCAGCCUCCAAAGCACACGCUGCAUUCCUGGCAGGGAGGUCAGCAAAGGAAGGCUUCCUGUCUGGUUCUCAGCCACAAAGUCAGUAUCUGCAAGCAUUUCCAUGGGACUACAUCCAAGGGGGAAGGACACCCAGUCACAGAGCCCCGCCUGUCCAUUCCUAGCACGUGGUCGAGAAGGUCACCCGGUCACGGAGCCCCGCCUGUCCAUUCCUAGCACAUGGCUUCACUGCAAGGUACUGACUAGAUCUAGGGUUUCUUUGGUUUUUCUUUUUGCCACAAGGAAAGGAUUUGCAGGUCUAGAAGUAUUGUUUCUUUUUAUACUUGUGGGUCUUUUCAGGUCUGUAUAUACCUAUCAUGUCACUACUGAGUUUGUGAGUCUUGCUGUUCCUCAGAAACGUCAAGUUUUUCCCGUAUAAUUUCUCAUAUGAUUUCCUUUUCACAGGAAGCUGUUUUUAUCAAUAUGGUCAAAUGGUUGUUUUGGGUUUGAUUUUUGUUUUUUGUUUGUUUGAGGUUUUUUCGCUAUAGUGUUUACCAUGUCUGGAGAGCCAUAAACAGUAAAUACAUGGUAUAUCAAUGCCCAGAAUAGAAUAGAGUAUUUUGAUGAAACACUAUUUUUAGAUUAUAAAUUUCAAGAUGUAUCUAUAGUAUCUUGUUUUAAAAAAUUUAAAAAGACAUUUGAAACUUAAGACAUUUAUAAUUUAGGGAAACUUCUAUAACCAUUUUUUAAGAAGCCAUUCUAAUAAAAUCAUCUAAUUGGCCCAAACACAAUAAAUAUCUCUUUCUAAUAAAGACCAAAGGGAAGUCAGGACAAGGCUGUUUUCACAUACCGCCCCUUGAUGCCACAACCGCCUCAGGGGGCAGAGGUUUCACCCGACGACGACACGAAGCAAACCGGUGUCCCUUUGCUGGCUCCUCCGCCACCCCCACCCCUCAGUAGAGUCUGUGGAGUCACAACCCAGCCAGGGUCAGGAAGGUCCACUGUCUGCACUCCAGCUUUGAGUUCUUACGGAGCUCACGGAGAAAGUGACAAAUUUAAAGCUCUGUGUUUCAGGAAAGGCUUUGGGGGACUAACCCACCCCUGUGAGGCCCCCCUGGUGUUCUGCGCCCUCCCAGACACGGGUGGGGGUGGGGUACCCAGAGGGCAGGAGGGAGGAGGGCAGGGCUGGGGCACACUCACCGGUGCUGUCCGUGGUGCUGCCCAAAGGGCUGUUCCCAGCAAUGCGGGGAUCUUGUUGGCUCCCGUCAAACUUCUCCCACAAAUUCUGAUUCACGUAAAGGGAAGGAUUGGGGGGCUGGGGGUGAAGAAGGGUGCAAAAGAUGCAGGUUAUCCAGAGGCGGCCCAGAACAGAGGAGCACCUCCCCGUUCUGGGAGACCAGAGAUUCGAGACCAGACCUACCUCCACCUCUUAUCCUCCCAACAGAGCACCUCCGCUUUCUCCCUCACAUUUCCCUCCCCCUCCCCUUCCUCUUCCCUGUUUUAGUGCCUGCUCUCCCUACCCUGGACCUGUGAUUCCUGGUGCAGCUGAGCUCCAGACCUCAGGCUGUCCACCCCUGAGCUCCACGGCGCUGACCUGUGCAUCAGACUGAUGCCAAGGCACGUCCAGGGGCGGAGGGUCCACUGGUGUCCUUUCUUGGACUCCUGCAACACGUCCAUUAGUCCGAACUGCCACCAAAGGGUCACUGACGGCCGAGUCUCUAGAAAGUUAGACCAAACAGCAGCACCUGCAGGGAACUACAGACAGUGUUGGCCCCGGAGAAAGAAAUUCCUUAUUUCCCAACUCAUUUCAAAAUCAAAGUUGCAGGGAUGAAACACUCUCUAAAGAUAAAGGUAAAAUGAUCUGGGUUCAAUGGCCUCUUUUCAUACAGGCACUGGAUCUUACCAUUCUGCCCUAUGUGCAUCGAUAACAAACAAACAAACACAAACACUUUCCCAGCAGUGCCCACUUAAUUUUCAGCUAAUUUUCAGCAUUUUGUAAGCAAAUGAACUUAAUAAAUAGUAAUUCUUAAGCAAAGGUAUGUACAUAAAAAGCAUGGGUGAAUGGCAAUAUUGGAUGUACAUUUGUAAUAUUUGUAAAAAAAACAAAAACAAAAAAACAAACCUCCAAAACCUUAAAGUAUUAAUUUACACGUUAAUUUGCUUCUAAGUGCUGGAAACUGCACUUCAGUGAUAUCUGAUAAGUGAAUGUUUCUGUUAAGUGAAUAAAAACAUCGAGUAAA